AAUGAACGUUGGCGGCAUGGAUUAGGCAUGCGAGUCGAGCGCGAAGUGUAGCAAUACAUGGAGAGCGGCGAAAGGGAGAGGAAUACAUAGGUACCUACCUUCUGGUCUGGGAUAGCGUUGGGAAACUGACGGUAAUACCAGAUAAAGUCUCCGGACCAAAGGUGUGAUUCCACCGGGAGAUGGGCCUAUGACCUAUCAGCUAGUUGGUAAGGUAACGGCUUACUAAGGCUAAGACGGGUACGGGGUGUGAGAGCAUGCCCCCGCUCACUGGGACUGAGACACUGCCCAGACACCUACGGGUGGCUGCAGUCGAGAAUCUUCGGCAAUGGGCGAAAGCCUGACCGAGCGAUGCCGCGUGUGGGAUGAAGGCCUUCGGGUUGUAAACCACUGUCGUAGAGGAUUAAUGGUAGGUAAGUUAUCUUAUCUAUUUGAAUGAUUCUAGGAGGAAGGACGGGCUAGGUUCGUGCCAGCCGCCGCCGUAAUAC
rnacentral:rRNA from 1 species